CCACGUCCUCCCAUCCCACCCCUUUCCCUCCGAAACCUCCCAGUCCCACACCGCAUCUUCUCUUCUCCCAAGUCCCAACAACUUCUUCGCCGCCGCCGCCAUGCGCCAACAGCGCUGUCGCCCGUUGACCCGGCUGCGCCCUCACCCUCGUCGCUCUCCCUGGCUCGGCAACAUCACCCACUCCCUGCUCUUCCUCCCGACGCGGAAGUGUCCUUUCGGGUCUCGUCUCCGUCUUCGUGGUCCUCAGAUCUGGCAGCCUCCGGCCACAACGCUGCCGGAUCUAACCAACCAAUAGGUGCUCGACGCCGCUCCUCAGGACCGCGUCGGUCUUCUUCGUCUGCUCUCUCUCUCCCUCAACCUCCCACGGCAUGUAUCGGCCCCUUCUGAAACUCCUCAUCCGAGUGGCCACCUGAUGCCGCCGUGUAGAACACGCUCACUCCUGCCUUUGCCCACCUGUACCAGGAUUUGCUCCUGUGGUUCAAGUUGAAUACCGGGGAGAUGGAGAUGGUGACAUGGCUGGCUUCUGUGGUGGUGAGGUUCAAGGUCUACAACGAGGUCAUGGUUGUUUGCAUGUCUGUUUAGAUCUAUUUUUUGUGUGUACGGUUGAAAAACAAAGCCAUGCCUAUUAGUUUGGAAAAUAAAGUCAAGCUUAUGUGUUAAAAAUAGUUUGAUUAACUAGCAAGUGGCCAUUUUGCAACGGUGAGAUGAGCUAGCUAGCUUGUGUGAUGCAUGUAUGUUUGGUCAAGGCUAGCUAGCUGCAGCAGUUUGACUAGUACGUAAGAGAAGAGACACUAUGUCAGCAUGUGCAAUCAGAAUCGGGAUGUAUACUUCACACUAUUGUAUAACUUAACUAGCAGUCCUCCAUUCAUGUAGAUUAGUACGUACAUUUCUUUUUUUUUUCCAAGUUUUUUCAUCUCGCUUUUGCUUUUCUUUUCAGUAUUUUGUAUUUCUGUAACAUUUAGCUCCUGUUCCUAAGGCUGAUGCAUCCAUUGACAUGUCAACAUCAUGUCCUGUGUGUUCUUUCUCCAAGAUGUAGUGCGGGGUUCUUAUUUGAUGUUAUUCGAAAA